GCAAAUUAAGUAUUUCUUUUACUGACAAAAGUGUUUCAAUUAUUUGGGAUAAAAGUCCGCCUGAAGAAAUAUACUCAUUCCAUAUUUUUUAUGAAACAAUAAAUUCAAGUGUUGUUUCAAAUGAAGAAAAGGUUUGGACUUCUACCCUUAAUCAUACAAUAUUUAAUUUAAAACCAGCAACAUCAUACAAGUUAAACAUUCAUAGAUAUGGUUAUGGUGCAACUAUCAGAGCAAUAAGAUUUUUCGAAACAUUGCCCGGUGUAUUAACUCCAACAUCAUUACCAAGUUCAACAAAUUUUCUAGACAUCACCAAGA
rnacentral:lncRNA from 1 species